AGCCUCCCAAUUCUUACCACAGGCUGUGUUCUUUACACUGACUAUAUAGAGGAGGAGGUACAGUAAAUGCACCCCAUAUACACCUCAACACAGGCCCUUUGUCUGGCCUGUUUUGUGAAUUGGGGGAACAAAA